GAUGAACGCUGGCGGCGUGCCUAAUACAUGCAAGUCGAGCGAACAGACGAGGAGCUUGCUCCUCUGACGUUAGCGGCGGACGGGUGAGUAACACGUGGAUAACCUACCUAUAAGACUGGGAUAACUUCGGGAAACCGGAGCUAAUACCGGAUAACAUGUUGAACCGCAUGGUUCAACAGUGAAAGACGGUUUUGCUGUCACUUAUAGAUGGAUCCGCGUCGCAUUAGCUAGUUGGUAAGGUAACGGCUUACCAAGGCAACGAUGCGUAGCCGACCUGAGAGGGUGAUCGGCCUCACUGGAACUGAGACACGGUCCAGACUCCUACGGGAGGCAGCAGUAGGGAAUCUUCCGCAAUGGGCGAAAGCCUGACGGAGCAACGCCGCGUGAGUGAAGAAGGUCUUCGGAUCGUAAAACUCUGUUAUUAGGGAAGAACAAAUGUGUAAGUAACUAUGCACGUCUUGACGGUACCUAAUCAGAAAGCCACGGCUAACUACGUG
rnacentral:rRNA from 1 species